CACACUCAGCAUCCUUUGGGAUCCCUGCCUUCCCUUACCACCCUCUCUUUGUGACUACUUACCAUGCAGGGGACCCCAGAAACUGAGAAAACUCUUCCAUCCCUUUCCCCCCCUGUCUUCCAAAGCCUGCUCAGAAGGCAGGGAGCAGAAUCCAUUUCCUCUCUGCUGCACCAGGACAGGGUCUCACAUCCACUCUUUCCCCAGAACAAACCCUCCUUUCUACAUUUUUGAGAGCAGUACCCAUCUCAUGAACAUUCGUGGUGCUGCCCACUCUCCCAACUGUCCUUUUUGUCAGGCAAAAGCUGCCACCCUUCCACCUUCCUCCACAAGAAACUCCCAAGCCACUGAGGAUUCCCACUCCCCACAGCUGGGGCUUUUCAGCAGGCAGAAUACCAGAGCAGGAGCAGCCUUGGCUCAGGAACAUCAUUCCCCACGGAGACCACCGUGGUGGAGUGACAGCUCACCCAUCAGAAGGGACUGUGCUGUGGAGGAGACAGCAGAGCUGUGGCAGGAAUGGAACGUGAAUCCAGGGCCACUCUCCGUGCCAACAUCCCCACCAAGUGGCCAGCACUCCAGCUCCUCUGCAGCUCAUCCCCCUGCCCCAGCAGCUGGAAAUGUGAAAAUACAAACCUGGCUCACCUAUUCCCACCUAAAACCUACAAAAUCUGACUUUUGAGACAGCUCUGAAGAUCUUUCCAGCCAUGGUCUGAUGUAAGGGCAAGAGAGGAGUGAUAAAGAGAUUUCCUUCCAUCCCCUAAAAGGUGUCCUGUUAACCCAUUUCCCACCUUAGCCACCAUUAUUUUUUCUGCUUGCAGAACUAAAAAACUUGUGUAGAGAUAGAUUAUUGUUAAUAACUCCACACAUUUCAAAAAAGUGUGGCCAGCCCAAGCAGCAUGAUGCAAACUUGUUACAAGCUUUAUGUUGUAUAUUAAAUACUAAAGUACAAGCAAAAAAAAA